rnacentral:rRNA from 1 species
GAUGAACGCUGGCGGCGUGCCUAAUACAUGCAAGUAGAACGCUGAAGCUUGGUGCUUGCACCGAGCGGAUGAGUUGCGAACGGGUGAGUAACGCGUAGGUAACCUGCCUCUUAGCGGGGGAUAACUAUUGGAAACGAUAGCUAAUACCGCAUAAAAGACGAUAUCGCAUGAUAUUGAUUUGAAAGAUGCAAUUGCAUCACUAAGAGAUGGACCUGCGUUGUAUUAGCUAGUUGGUGAGGUAACGGCUCACCAAGGCGACGAUACAUAGCCGACCUGAGAGGGUGAUCGGCCACACUGGGACUGAGACACGGCCCAGACUCCUACGGGAGGCAGCAGUAGGGAAUCUUCGGCAAUGGGGGCAACCCUGACCGAGCAACGCCGCGUGAGUGAAGAAGGUUUUCGGAUCGUAAAGCUCUGUUGUAAGAGAAGAACGAGUGUGAGAGUGGAAAGUUCACACUGUGACGGUAACUUACCAGAAAGGACGGCUAA